GAUGAACGCUGGCGGCGUGCCUAAUACAUGCAAGUCGAGCGAACAGACGAGGAGCUUGCUCCUCUGACGUUAGCGGCGGACGGGUGAGUAACACGUGGAUAACCUGCCUAUAAGACUGGGAUAACUUCGGGAAACCGGAGCUAAUACCGGAUAAUAUAUUGAACCGCAUGGUUCAAUAGUGAAAGACGGUUUUGCUGUCACUUAUAGAUGGAUCCGCGCCGCAUUAGCUAGUUGGUAAGGUAACGGCUUACCAAGGCGACGAUGCGUAGCCGACCUGAGAGGGGGAUCGGCCACACUGGAACUGAGACACGGUCCAGACUCCUACGGGAGGCAGCAGUAGGGAAUCUUCCGCAAUGGGCGAAAGCCUGACGGAGCAACGCCGCGUGAGUGAUGAAGGUCUUCGGAUCGUAAAACUCUGUUAUUAGGGAAGAACAAAUGUGUAAGUAACUAUGCACGUCUUGACGGUACCUAAUCAGAAAGCCACGGCUAACUACGUG
rnacentral:rRNA from 1 species